rnacentral:rRNA from 1 species
GAUGAACGCUGGCGGCGUGCCUAAUACAUGCAAGUCGAGCGAACGGACGAGAAGCUUGCUUCUCUGAUGUUAGCGGCGGACGGGUGAGUAACACGUGGAUAACCUACCUAUAAGACUGGGAUAACUUCGGGAAACCGGCGCUAAUACCGGAUAAUAUUUUGAACCGCAUGGUUCAAAAGUGAAAGACGGUCUUGCUGUCACUUAUAGAUGGAUCCGCGCUGCAUUAGCUAGUUGGUAAGGUAACGGCUUACCAAGGCAACGAUGCAUAGCCGACCUGAGAGGGGGAUCGGCCACACGGGAACUGAGACACGGUCCAGACUCCUACGGGAGGCAGCAGUAGGGAAUCUGCCGCAAUGGGCGAAAGCAUGACGGAGCAACGCCGCGUGAGUGAUGAAGGUGUUCGGAUCGUAAAACUCUGUUAUUAGGGAAGAACAUAUGUGUAAGUAACUGUGCACAUCUUGACGGUACCUAAUCAGAAAGCCACGGCUAACUACGUG